AUACGUAGGGGGCGAGCGUUGUCCGGAAUGACUGGGCGUAAAGGGCGCGUAGGCGGCCCGGUAAGUCUGGAGUGAAAGUCCUGUUUUUAAGAUGGGAAUUGCUUUGGAUACUGUCGGGCUUGAGUGCAGGAGAGGUAAGUGGAAUUCCCAGUGUAGCGGUGAAAUGCGUAGAGAUUGGGAGGAACACCAGUGGCGAAGGCGACUUACUGGACUGUAACUGACGCUGAGGCGCGAAAGUGUGGGGAGCAAACAGGAUUAGAUACCCUGGUAGUCCACACUGUAAACGAUGAAUGCUAGGUGUAGGGGGUAUCGACCCCUUCUGUGCCGCAGUCAACACAAUAAGCAUUCCGCCUGGGGAGUACGGCCGCAAGGUUGAAACUCAAAUGAAUUGACGGGG
rnacentral:rRNA from 1 species